UACGAAGGGUGCUAGCGUUGUUCGGAAUUACUGGGCGUAAAGCGCGCGUAGGCGGCGAUAUAAGUCAGAGGUGAAAUCCCAGGGCUCAACCCUGGAAUUGCCUUUGAAACUAUAUCGCUAGAAUAUCGGAGGGGAUAGCGGAAUUCCUAAUGUAGCAGUGAAAUGCGUAGAUAUUAGGAGGAACACCGGUGGCGAAGGCGGCUAUCUGGACGAUUAUUGACGCUGAGGCGCGAAAGCGUGGGGAGCAAACAGG
rnacentral:rRNA from 1 species